GGGCGGCCCAGCGGGGGGCCUCUGGCCCUGGUUCCUCUUGUCCAGCCCAUUAGCAUCCGGGUCCAGUGUCCUUCUUCUCAGAACCAAUUUCUCCUGUAGUCUCUGUCCUUAUAGAAAUGCCAGUUUCUCUUUUUCCUUCUUCUUUUUUUUUAAAUUUUUUUAAUGGCCAUGGCAUGCAGCGCCUGGCUGUGGGAUCUCAGUUCCCAGAGCAGGGAUCGAACCCGGGCGGUGGUGGUGAGAGCACCAUGGCCUCACCACUCGACCCCCAGGGAACUCCCUAGAAUCGCCGGUUUCACUGCUAAGCCGGAGCCUUAGGUGUGGGAAGCUCACUCGUCGCGAGUGUGAGCCCUGACUUCAUCUGCCCCCGGCUGGACGGCGCCCCGUGGGCGACAUUGCUGCGGUGACAAGAUGCCGCCAUGAGCAUUGCCAUGGCAAGGUCUGACUCUGAGCGUGACGUCAGCACCCGUUGCUUAGUGCUCUCCUUGGCCACCGCUUGAUGUCGGUUUGGUCUGGUUUGGUCUCAGCCUCUCUGGCCCUGGAAUCUUCAAAAGUAGAGCAGCCAAGAUCAAAGGCUUCCGUGUCUAAAUCAUGGCAUUGUGAUUCUUCUAGUCGAGGGCUUCUUCUAGCCGAGGGAGGGGUAUUCAGGUGUUUCAAAGCUUCUAUUUUAUUGUGCAAUAAAACACAGACACAGGAAACAAA